rnacentral:lncRNA from 1 species
UGCUACACAACACGUUCAAGUCAGGGGUCACAUUUGAGGCCUUGGGUACCACAACAAAUUUACGUACGGUUAUACUGCUGCACGGUAAUGAAAGGAGUGAGACCCCUAAGGCAAUAGUCCUACAUGAUUUGCUGCCAAGCUUGAGAUGCUUACGUGUAUUGGAUUUGAGUCACAUUGCUGUUGAAGAAAUACCAGAUAUGGUAGGAAGACUGAAACAUUUAAGGUAUCUCAACCUCUCCAGUACUCGUAUUAAGAUGCUGCCUCCAUCAGUUUGCACCCUUUAUAAUCUCCAAUCGCUGAUUCUUAUGAAUUGCAACAACCUUAAGGGGUUGCCUAUUGACAUGAAAAAACUUCUAAAUCUGCGGCAUCUUAAUUUAACUGGAUGUUGGCAUCUCAUAUGCAUGCCUCCACAGAUUGGGGAGCUUACUUGUUUACGAACAUUGCAUAGAUUUUUUGUGGCAAAAGAGAAGGGUUGUGGGAUUGGCGAAUUGAAGGGCAUGACAGAGCUUCGAGCAACACUCAUAAUCGAUAGGCUUGAGGAUGUUUCCAUGGUUUCAGAGGGCAGGGAGGCGAAUUUGAAGAACAAACAAUAUCUUCGUAGGUUGGAAUUGAAAUGGAGCCCUGGACAUCAUAUGCCGCAUGCAACUGGUGAGGAGCUUCUUGAAUGUCUUGAACCUCAUGGGAACCUCAAAGAAUUGAAGAUCGAUGUCUAUCAUGGUGCUAAGUUUCCAAAUUGGAUGGGAUACUCCUUGCUACCUCGCUUAGAAAGGAUCGAACUCUCCCAAUGUACCUACAGCAGAAUCCUCCCGCCCCUUGGACAGCUACCGCUUCUUAAGUAUCUCAGCAUUGAUACAAUGAGUGAAUUGGAAAGCAUUAGUUGUGAGUUUUGUGGUGAAGGUCAGAUUCGAGGGUUUCCUUCCUUAGAGAAAAUGAAGCUUGAAGACAUGAAGAAUUUGAAGGAAUGGCAUGAGAUAGAGGAUGGUGACUUCCCUCGCCUUCACGAACUUACCAUUAAAAACUCCCCCAAUUUUGCUAGCCUUCCAAAGUUUCCAUCACUUUGUGACUUGGUUUUAGAUGAAUGCAAUGAGAUGAUUUUGGGGUCAGUGCAGUUCCUCUCAUCUCUAUCCUCAUUGAAAAUUUCAAAUUUCCGAAGACUGGCUUUAUUACCUGAAGGCCUUCUACAGCAUCUAAAUUCACUAAAAGAACUAAGAAUUCAGAAUUUUUACGGGCUUGAGGCGUUGAAAAAGGAGGUAGGCUUACAGGAUCUCGUGUCUCUCCAACGUUUUGAAAUUUUAUCGUGUCCAAAGCUAGUGUCGCUUCCAGAAGAAGGGUUAUCAUCUGCACUUCGAUAUCUCUCCCUCUGUGUAUGCAACAGUUUGCAGUCCCUGCCAAAAGGACUCGAGAAUCUGUCCUCCCUUGAAGAAUUGAGCAUUUCCAAGUGUCCUAAGCUUGUGACUUUCCCUGAAGAAAAGUUACCAAGCUCACUCAAACUGUUGAGAAUUUCAGCUUCCAACCUGGUAUCACUACCUAAGAGACUUAAUGAACUCUCAGUUCUUCAACAUUUGGCAAUAGACUCCUGCCACGCACUAAGAUCCUUGCCAGAGGAAGGAUUGCCAGCCUCAGUUUGAUCAUUAUAUAUUCAAAGAUCUCAAUUGUUGGAGAAAAGGUGUGAAGAAGGUGGUGAAGAUUGGAAUAAGAUAGCUCAUAUCCCUCACAAAAGGAUUGCUCGAUUUUAAAUCAACUCAAGAUCUGAAAUGGAGCUGUGCUAGAAAACUAAAGCUCCAAGAGUGACACGGUAUCAAGGUUUUCCUUCAAUUCGUUAUCCAUGCUGUAUAUUUUUUCUUUUUAUCCUUUUUUCCUUAAUACGAAUGAUUUUGUGUCAUAAGCUCAAGUCUUUAGAUGCUAUGAACUGCUCAAUGUUGUGGAUGACAUGAACAACUUCGAGUCGUGAGCUCAGAAAAUUUGACAUGAUAAAGGAACUUCUUUUAUAAGUAACAGCUUUUUAUUGGUUCAAGUCAUGUUGGGGAACUUUGUUUUAAAUGGGAAAUCAUUGUUCUAUCUUGGACUAGAAUUUUCUGAGUUCUUGGGAAAUUUUGAGGAAAGACAUUGGAAAUGUUCAAGAAACUCUCAGGAUAUUUCUUUGUAAGCAUUUUGGAAAAGUCCAUCUCUUCCUCCUUCAUCUUGGAAGAACUUGAGUUCUCACAUGUGAAAUGCUCAAUACCCCAUUUAGGCCUACAAAAUUGGUUAUAAUCUAGCGCUUUCUAGGUCUUCUCAUUAAGAGCUAUCUGGAGCAGCAAAUAUAGAAACCAGCUCAGGUGCCAAAGCAAGAGAUUCUGAGUGCUCAAGAAAAGAGAAAGCUGGAAGAUAAGCAGGUAAGAAAAUUACUUUCCCUUGUUUAGGAACCCAAACUUCUAAUAAAAGAAGAUAUUUGUUUUAUCUCUAUUAAGAAAAACAACUCUCUGACCAUCUAGAGAUGAGGCAUGCUUGUUCUUUUGGGUGAAAAAUUUUCACAUUCUUAUGAAGGAUGAUGUUUUCAUUACAUUGAAACUACCGCCAAACUAUGAUAAAAAAUUUUAUCAUCACUUCUAUUAUGCCUGAACAUCUUUUGAUUAAUCCAUCAAGCUAACAAAAACUUACGUUCCGUUUGAAAACAAUUCUAAAUAACAGUUUUUAGUGUUUUGUUGAAUAAAAGUAUGUUUGAAAACUUAAAAUGUUUUUAACAUGUUUUCAGUAUUUUUAAAUAUUUUUUAAAAUUACUUUUAUAUAUAGUGAUUUAUUUUUAAUCAUUCUCCGUAUAUGUACAAUUAACUUUUAAAACCGUCCUUGGAAAACAACUAAAAAUAUUCUUAAAAGACAUCUUGGCCUUAUUUGAAAACUAUUUUUUAAAUUAGUUUUUUUGUUUUUCAGAACAAAAAAAAAUGGGAAAACAUAUUUGGUAACUAAAAAAUAGAAAAACAUUCUUUUGUUCUUAAAAACAGAAACAUUAUAUUUUUAGGGAACAAGUUUAUAUCCUCCAAAAAUACCAUGUUUUUUAGAACUGUUUUUGAAAACAUUUCCAAAAUAAAGCCCUUAUUUUCUGUUUUUAAAACAUAAAACUUAAAAACAGAAAACUGUUUUAUGUUUUCUAAUUGUCAAUAUUUUUUUUUUUUUAUACAUGGAGAUGAGAAGAUUGUUUUCAAAAACAAGAUCUUUUAUGUUUUCAUUUUAUUUGUUUUCUUUGUUCAGUUUCCUAUAAUGUAGGAGAACGAUGCCACUGCGUGUUGCUAUGGUCAAGAGAAGUGGCAGGUGGUGAAAAUUACAUACAAAGGUGGAAUGAGUGAUUCUUUGGUUACCUUCCGCUGCGUUUCUUGAUGCCUCCACAAACAUGCUUACACAUUUUUGUCGGGGUUGACAUGCUGGAAAUUGUUUUGUUCUACACAUAUUUAACAGAUCUUCAUUAUAUUAACCUAUUUUUACAGUGACAUUAAUGAAAGAUUACAUCUUUCUGGUGGAAAUGAGACUAGAUUAGUUUUGAAAUGUAAAGAUUAUGUUUGGUUCUUGGAAAAUGGGAGAAAAAAAAAACAGAAUGAAAAAAAAAAACAAAGGAAAAUAAACAAAUAGAUUUAAAGUUAAUAAAUUAUUUUUAUAUAUUAUUUCUUAUUUAUUUCAUUUAUUUAACUCUUCUAUAUAAAUAUUAAAUAAUUUAUAGUAUAAUUUUUUAAAUAAUGUUAAUUAUAUUUCACAUUUUUUAGAGUAAAAUCAAAUAUAAAAAAAUAUUUUUCUCAACACCUUUUUUCUUUACUUAUUACUUUCCAAAAUCAAAGAUAGGUAACCUAAUCUCUCAUGUUUGAUAUCUCUUUUCUCCAACUCAUUUUGAGUCCACACAAUUGGCUCAUAUAAUUAUAAACAAAUUUAAAAAUAAUAAUAUUAUAAUAAAUAUAUACAUUAUUUUUUAUUAAAAAACUAUUUAGUAUAUGUUAGAAAAAAUAUGGAUAUUAACAUUUUAGUAAAAGUAUUUUUUUUUGUGAAAAAGAAUAAUUAUUUUUUAAAAAUAAAUAAUUUUUACUAAAAUAUAAAUAAUAAUAAUGAUAUUAUAAUAAAAUAUAAAUUAUAUUUUUUUAUUGAAAAAAUAUUUAGUAUAAGUUAGAAAAAAUAUAGAUAUUAACAUUUUAGUAAAAGAUUUUUUUUGUUAAAAAGAAUAAUAAUAAUUGUUAAUAAUAUUUUAUUUAAAAUGAAUAACAAAUAAAUUAACAUGCAAAUCAACCAAGGUUUUCAUUACGUGCACAUAUUUAGCACUAAAUUAUGAACAUAGUAAUCGGAAGUGUUUUGAUUUAAUAUGCAUUUAAUUGGAUUGGGUUUUUUGAAUUCCAAAUUAUUCUUAAAAAUUUUAAAUUCAUUAAAAAUUUGAAAUUAUUAAUUAUGUCUCAUUUAAUUUAAAAUCUAUUUACCUAAUGAAAAAAAUUCAAAAAAUAUAUUUGUAUAUAAGAGAAACAGUAAAGUUAUGACUCAUAAUUUAUUAGUUUUAGUUUAUUACUUUUUGUAGUCAUUAGAUUAAUUUUUUGAAUUUUAAAUUAUUUUUAAAAAUGGUUAAGUCUAUUAAUGAAUUCAAUAUAAAGUGUUGUUUGAUUUUAAGUUUAUUUCUUUAGUAAAAAAAUUUAUAAAAAUAUAAUUUUGUGCAAAAAAGAAAUAAUGGAGUCAUUGUAAUCCAAUUUUUAUCCAUAACAUACUGGUAUUAAUGAUUUCACUAUUUGACUUUCAAAUUUAUUUUAAAAAUUAUCAAACUAGUUAAUGAAUUCAACAAAUUAAGUUUUAUUUAAUUUGGAGUUUGUUUACUUAGUGAAAAAUUUGGAAAAAUAUGAUUCUAUGCAAAAGAGAAACAACAGAAUUGUUUGAAACCAAUUUGAUCCUUAUUUGAGUUUUUACUUAUUAUUACUAGAUUCUUUAAUGAAUCAAUGUGUUAAGUGUUUGUUUAAUUUCAAAUUUAUUUGCCUAGUGAAAAAAUUUAUAAAAAUGUGAUAUUAAGUUUUGAUCAAUGACUUUCUAAUGUUAUUAAGUUUCUUGACUUUCUAAUAUUAAUUAACUCGAUUUUUUUUUGUUUCAAAUUAUUUUUAAAAAUUAAUAAAUUUUAUGUAUGAAGUUUAAUUUGAUUUGAAAUUUAUUUGUUUGAUAAAAAAAUUUAGAAAAGUUAAAAAAAAAUUGAAAAAAACACACACAUGUAAUUUAAAGGAAUACCAUAUUUGAAUAUUUUCAGUUUCAAUACUGGAUCAUAGAGAUAAUGCUUAAUUUUAUUUUAUUUUUUAUGAUUUUUUUUAAUUUAUUUAUAUUUUCCUAUUGUUUUAAAAAACUUGUUAAAACAAUUUUUUCUUGUUCACUAAAAACUGUUUUUUGUUUCACUUUGUGAUAAUUGCUUUUUAAUCACAUAACCAACACAAGCUCUUUAAGGUUAGAACAUAAUAUUAAAUAAUAUAUAUAUAUAUAUAUAUAUAAUAUGUAUAAUUUUAUUUUUUUAUGAUUUUUUUAAAUUUCUCUAUGUUUUCCUUUUAUUUUAAAAAACUAGUGAAAAUCAACCAAACUCUUUUAAGAUUAGAAUAUAUAUAUAUAUAUAUAUAUAUCUUAAAGGAAUAUCUUAUUUGAAUAUUUUCGGUUACAAUAUUGGAUUAUGAAGAGAGAAGAAGAAUGAUAUAAUGUUUUUAUUUUAUUUUAUGAUUUUUUACAUUUCUUUUUCCUUUUUUUUUGUUUUAAAAAACUAGUGAAAAUAAUUUUUUCUUGUUCACUAAAAACUGUUCUUUAAUUCACUAUGUGAUAACUGCUUUUAAAUCAUGUGAUGAAACAAGCUCUAUGAGGUUAGGAUAUAAUAUCAAAUUACAUAUAUAUAGUAGUUAUAAAUGAUCUAUCAUAUUACUAAUAAUUGUGAAUAAGAAAAUAACCAUUAUAACUUCUAACAAGGAGAUAUCAACUAUUUUUUUAACUUUUUUUAAUAAAUUUAUUAUUAUUAUUUCCUAAAAGUUGUGUAUUAUUAUUAUUAUUUUCAAUUUUAAUGAAAUCUUCAAUUUUUAUAUUGAAAUUUUUGAAUAUAUGAUUUCAAUAAAAUAUAACAAACUCGUGUCUUCAAAUUACAACUUCCACAAAAUGCACUUAAAUCAUGUCUUCUAGUGAUGACUUUAAUAAAAUACACCAAAAUUUUAUGUUUGUGUCAUAGAUUUGAAAAUAUUUUUAAAAGCGAGGUAUUUUAAAACCUGUUUUUUAAAAUUUGGGUAGUUUAAAAAAAAUGUCCUUUUCCUUUUAUCUCUAUUUCUUUUCCCACGGGGCACAUAAAAACUCCAUUGACUUUGGUUAAUCAGGUCCAAAUAUAGACAUCUGAAUUCACUCAAAUUCAUAAAUAAAGUAAAGGGUUAAAAGUGCGGUAAUAUGCACUUUUCAGCUUAAUUUCUUCCUUACGUUUCAUAAUUUGGUUUCCAUCGUCAAAUUCAUAAAGUAACGGAUGGGGUUGGUGGUUUGUGGCUUUGGGCUUAUCCUCACCUUUCAGCCAGCCUUGUUUGCUCUUUUCCGUGGACAUACCCCACCUCUCCUGUCGGCAUUGACUUCUAUUCCUUGCACCUACAACUCUACAACCACCAGGACAAGUUGAAAUUCAUUAGAUUACACAGAAAACUAGAUCUUGUUCUUGAGUUUUGCUUCUCUCAGAAAGAAACAAUGGCAGUGGGGGAGAUAUUUCUAUCUGCUGCCUUUCAAAUUACUCUUGAAAAAUUGGCUUCCCCAAUGUCAAAAGAGUUGGAAAAGCGUUUUGGAGAUCUAAAAAAACUGACCAGGACUUUGUCCAAAAUCCAGGCUGUGCUCAGUGAUGCUGAGGCAAGGCAGAUCACCAACGCAGCUGUGAAACUGUGGCUAGGUGAUGUUGAAGAAGUAGCAUAUGACGCGGAGGACGUGCUGGAGGAGGUCAUGACCGAAGCUUCUCGACUCAAGCUACAAAACCCAGUAAGCUACUUGUCCUCUUUGUCAAGGGAUUUUCAGCUUGAAAUUAGGUCUAAAUUGGAGAAGAUUAAUGAGAGGUUGGAUGAAAUAGAAAAGGAAAGAGAUGGGCUGGGGUUGAGGGAGAUAAGCGGAGAGAAAAGGAAUAAUAAAAGACCACAGAGUAGUUCUCUAGUUGAAGAAUCUAGGGUUUUAGGGAGGGAGGUUGAGAAAGAGGAGAUAGUAGAAUUAUUGGUAUCGGAUGAAUAUGGUGGAAGUGAUGUUUGUGUUAUUCCCAUAGUGGGCAUGGGAGGCCUGGGCAAGACAACACUUGCCCAACUUGUCUACAAUGAUGAGAAGGUGACCAAACAUUUUGAGCUGAAAAUGUGGGUUUGUGUAUCUGAUGAUUUUGAUGUUCGUAGAGCUACAAAAUCAGUCCUAGAUUCUGCUACCGGGAAAAAUUUUGAUCUCAUGGAUUUGGACAUACUCCAAAGUAAACUCCGGGACAUAUUAAAGGGGAAGAGGUAUCUGCUUGUUCUAGACGAUGUGUGGACUGAGAAGAAGAGUGAUUGGGAUCGUUUGCGUCUUCCUCUAAGAGCAGGGGCAACCGGAAGUAAAAUCAUAGUAACUACCAGAAGUGGAAGGGUUUCAUCGGUUAUGGGCACGAUGCCCCCUCGUCAUUUGGAGGGAUUAUCAGAUGAUGACUGUUGGUCACUUUUUAAGCAAAUAGCGUUUGAGAAUAGGAAUGCUGAUGCACAUCCAGAGCUGGUACGAAUAGGAGAGGAAAUUCUGAAGAAGUGUCGAGGUUUGCCUUUAGCAGUGAAGACAAUUGGGGGGCUGCUGUAUUUGGAGACGGAUGAAUAUGAAUGGGAAAUGAUCCUGAAAAGUGAUUUAUGGGACUUCGAAGAGGAUGAAAAUGGAAUUUUGCCAGCUCUAAGGCUGAGCUAUAAUCAUCUACCAGAACAUCUCAAACAGUGUUUUGUCUUUUGCUCUGUAUUCCCAAAAGACUACAACUUUGAAAAGGAAACUUUAGUCUUGCUAUGGAUUGCAGAGGGUUUUGUUCUUGCAAAGGGAAGGAAACACCUGGAAGAUUUGGGUUCGGACUAUUUUGAUGAGCUGUUGUUGAGGUCUUUCUUUCAACGCUCCAAAUUCAAUUCUUCCAAGUUCUUUGUUAUGCAUGACUUGGUUCAUGAUUUGGCACAAUAUCUAGCAGGGGAUUUAUGCUUCAGAUUGGAGGAGGGUAAGUCGCAAAGCAUCUCGGAAAGGGCUAGGCAUGCUGCAGUGCUACACAACACGUUCAAGUCAGGGGUCACAUUUGAGGCCUUGGGUACCACAACAAAUUUACGUACGGUUAUACUGUUGCACGGUAAUGAAAGGAGUGAGACCCCUAAGGCAAUAGUCCUACAUGAUUUGCUGCCAACCUUGAGAUGCUUACGUGUAUUGGAUUUGAGUCACAUUGCUGUGGAAGAAAUACCAGAUAUGGUAGGAAGACUGAAACAUUUAAGGUAUCUCAACCUCUCCAGUACUCGUAUUAAGAUGCUGCCUCCAUCAGUUUGCACCCUUUAUAAUC